rnacentral:misc_RNA from 1 species
GAUGAAGAACGUAGCGAAAUGCGAUAAGUAAUGUGAAUUGCAGAAUUCAGUGAAUCAUCGAAUCUUUGAACGCACCUUGCGCUCCUUGGCAUUCCGAGGAGCAUGCCUGUUUGAGUGUCAUUAAAUUCUCAAGACCUGUCUGCUUUUUUGAUAGGUAUUGGAUUUUGGGGGUUGCAGGCUGUUUCAAAUAAAUAGCCUUGCUCUCCUUGAAUGUAUUAGUGGAGAAAAGCCAUUGAACUCCAUCGGUGUGAUAAAACCUAUCAAUGCCAGGAGCAAUAUCACUACUUCUCUCUGCUGUCUAACUGUGACUGUCUGUAUUAAUUAGUAUGGAUGGGGACAACUUGACCAACUUGACCUCAAAUCAGGUAGGACUACCCGCUGAACUUAAGCAUAUCAAUAAGCGGAGGA